rnacentral:rRNA from 1 species
CAGCAGCCGCGGGAAUACGAAUGGGGCUAGCGUUGCUCGGAAUGACUGGGCGUAAAGGGCGCGUAGGCGGUUAUAUAAGACAGAUGUGAAAUCCCCGGGCUCAACCUGGGACCUGCAUUUGUGACUGUAUAGCUAGAGUACGGUAGAGGGGGAUGGAAUUCCGCGUGUAGCAGUGAAAUGCGUAGAUAUGCGGAGGAACACCGAUGGCGAAGGCAAUCCCCUGGACCUGUACUGACGCUCAUGCACGAAAGCGUGGGGAGCAAACAGGAUUAGAUACCCCCGUAGUCCCUGUCUCUUAUAA